CAAACUGAAACCCCCUCCAGCCCCUCCUCCUCUCCCUUUGUCUCUUUGGCCAGGAAGUCACCUGAUCUCUUUGUUCACCUUUAGCUAUCCCCUUGCGGGGGGGGGGGCAUCCAUUCGUUGCUAGGAUACAGAGUGUCGUCCAUUUAUGCACACUGGAGGUUUAAGAAAUGCAUAGGGGAAACUGAGGCACCCAAACAGUAUUCAGAGGAAACAUUAAGAACAGUCCCACUUCAUCACACCCGCCAGCCCUGCUGAGCAGCUCUGGGGCCAGAGGUUCCCCCCACAGCCCCAGCGCCCUAGAGAAAUCCCUGCCGGCUGCCCCCAGGUGCCGCGAGCUGGGCAGACAGGCCUGGCCCGGGGCUGGGCUCCGCGGGCUGGAGGGGCGCCCGAGGGGCCGUAAACAGCGAUGAGAUGGCAGGGCCCUGCCCCAGCCCUGGGUCCAUCCUGGGCUCUUCCAGGACAGCCCAGCAGCUCCACUGCAGCCCCAGGGGUGGGGGCUGGUGGUGUCCCAGUGCAUGUGGGGGUGGGGGGAUCCUGCGGUGGAUGGGGGGGGUACUACAUGGCAGGGCGUGUAAAGUCCGAGGCCUUUUUCUUUAGUGGCGCCUCCUGCCCCCCCCUAGGAGCCGGACCUGCCGGCUGCUUCUGGGGCACAGCACGAUGCCAGGACAGGCAGGGAGCCUGCCUUAGCCCCGCUGCGCUGACUGGGAGCCGCCCGCGGGGAGAAGGCAACACGCUGCAUUUAUUGGACAUCCAACAAUUAGCACGUGCAUCCAGUCUCUCUCUCUCCUGCCAUUCGAUGUUAUAAUUGCCAGUCCAGAUCAAUCUAGUGGCCAGCUCGGUUGAUUAGCGGUAGGGAGGAGCUGGGUUCUGUUGAUCGCGACAUGAUGCUCCCUGGAAGUCUUAGCAGGAUGAACCUAAAGUUUCAUGGCAAGGGCCCCUGGUUAUAUAGUGAUCUUCCUUUCUUGGGACCCGUGAGUUUUGCACUGUCAUGCUGUAAUCAAUUGCUGUUUGACGAGUGCUUGUUUUCUUAAAUUGUUCUUCUCCU